GCCUGGGUGGCUUAGUAGGUUAAGCAUCUGACUUCAGCUCAGGUCAUAACCUUGCAGUCUGUGAGUUUGAGUCCUAUGUCAGGCU
rnacentral:tRNA from 1 species